rnacentral:rRNA from 1 species
UACGAAGGGGGCUAGCGUUGCUCGGAAUCACUGGGCGUAAAGCGCACGUAGGCGGCUUCUUAAGUCAGGGGUGAAAUCCUGGAGCUCAACUCCAGAACUGCCCUUGAUACUGAGGAGCUCGAGUCCGGAAGAGGUGAGUGGAACUGCGAGUGUAGAGGUGAAAUUCGUAGAUAUUCGCAAGAACACCAGUGGCGAAGGCGGCUCACUGGUCCGGUAUUGACGCUGAGGUGCGAAAGCGUGGGGAGCAAACAGG